AGUGUGUAAAUUAGCUGGAGUUGUCUGUUUUAGCUCCAUCUCAUUUACACGCUGC
rnacentral:precursor_RNA from 1 species